rnacentral:tRNA from 1 species
GGUGAGUUCAGCUUUUCGUUAGAACGUGGGUCUCACGAACCUGAUGCCGUAGGUUCAAGUCCUUUGAUAUCU